CACCCGCAGUAAUGGUUACGUGUGGUACAUGAGAGCUCAAAUUCCUUAGCUAUACCGCCACCAAGUUGCUGAUGGCGUUGGAAUCCCUCUGUCUGGGAACAAAAGGAAGAAGCCUGAUUCUGCGAUUUUCCAAAAACAUAAAGCAUUCAGGACCAGGACCUCCAGCACCGAGGACAGCGCUCUGGCAGCCCAGCCUUCUCCACAGGCAGUCAAGCACUAGCUGAGAGAUACAACCAGGACCAGGAGGAAGAGGGGAUGACAGGACUGGUUGAUGGACAUCUUUAUGACAAGGGACUGAAGUCAACCUCCAACAACAGCAAGUCUAGAAGAGAUAACCCACCACAUGGCAGCAAUUAUCUAUGAUGGUGAGACCCUGCCCUGGAGCCGGAGCUGACAUCUUCAGGGAUGACAGCAAUAACAACGUCUUCAAACCACCUCAAAGAACCAGAACUGAGACAGUGCUAUUCCAAGGCUUGCUUAAUUAUGCAUACAACUUGACCUUAAUCCAACUCAUCCUCUGUUUAAAUUUAGGCUGACACCAGUACCCUAGAGACAAAUGUUGGGUCACUGGAGCUCUUUAUCUGCUACUUUCCCCAACAUGGCCAUUAAAACUCCUUUCUCUAUCA